UGCCCAGCAACUCCUAUCCCUACCUCUUUGCGGUACUGGUCGGGGUACGAGUAGCCUUAGGGAAGAUCGGGUAACCAACCCCGGUGGGAACUUUGGUCGUAUGAUGACAGAGAAGG
rnacentral:ribozyme from 1 species